GUUAAAAGCUCGUAGUUGGAUUUCUGCGCCGCGCAGCUCGGUCCGCCGCACUGCGGUGUGACUGCGGCUGGAGCGUCGCAUCCUUGUGGGGACCGCCGGUGGCAUUAAGUUGUCGCUGGUUGGGAACCGCGUCGUUUACUGUGAAAAAAUUAGAGUGUUCAAAGCAGGCUUAUGCCGUGAAUACAUUAGCAUGGAAUAAUAAGAUAGGACUUUGGUUCUAUUUUGUUGGUUGGAGGCCAAGGUAAUGAUUAAUAGGGAUAGUUGGGGGUAUUCAUAUUUAAUUGUCAGAGGUGAAAUUCUUGGAUUUAUGAAAGAUGAACUUAUGCGAAAGCAUUUACCAAGGAUGUUUUCAUUAAUCAAGAACGAAAGUUAGGGGAUCGAAGAGGAUUAGAUACCCUCGUAGUCUUAACCAUAAACUAUGCCGACUCGGGAUUGGGGGGCGUACAUUCAAAGACCCCCUCAGCACCGUAUGAGAAAUCAAAGUCUUUGGGUUCCGGGGGGAGUAUGGUCGCAAGGCUGAAACUUAAAGGAAUUGACGGAAGGGCACCACCAGGAGUGGAGCCUGCGGCUUAAUUUGACUCAACACGGGGAAACUCACCAGGUCCGGACAUAGUAAGGAUUGACAGAUUGACAGCUCUUUCUUGAUUCUAUGGGUGGUGGUGCAUGGGCGUUCUUAGUUGGUGGAGUGAUUUGUCUGGUUGAUUCCGUUAACGAACGAGAUCUCCGCCUACUAAAUAGUCACG
rnacentral:rRNA from 1 species